GAUGAACGCUGGCGGCGUGCCUAAUACAUGCAAGUCGAGCGAACGGACGAGAAGCUUGCUUCUCUGAUGUUAGCGGCGGACGGGUGAGUAACACGUGGAUAACCUACCUAUAAGACUGGGAUAACUUCGGGAAACCGUAGCUAAUACCGGAUAAUAUUUUGAACCGCAUGGUUCAAAAGUGAAAGACGGUCUUGCUGUCACUUAUAGAUGGAUCCUCUCUGCAUUAGCUAGUUGGUAAGGUAACGGCUUACCAAGGCAACGAUGCAUAGCCGACCUGAGAGGGUGAUCGGCCACACUGGAACUGAGACACGGUCCAGACUCCUACGGGAGGCAGCAGUAGGGAAUCUUCCGCAAUGGGCGAAAGCCUGACGGAGCAACGCCGCGUGAGUGAUGAAGGUCUUCGGAUCGUAAAACUCUGUUAUUAGGGAAGAACAUAUGUGUAAGUAACUGUGCACAUCUUGACGGUACCUAAUCAGAAAGCCACGGCUAACUACGUG
rnacentral:rRNA from 1 species